AACAACAAUUCAGUUACAAUUUAACAUUAAUUUUUUCACAUUACAAAUAUAUUGUUAUGCAUGCUUUAAAGACUGUUAAAAAUAACUAAAAUGAAGGUUAGUCCGUCGGAAAUUUAUUAUUCGCAAAAUUCGAUAAGCAAUAUGUUCGAUUCUAAAUCGAGUCAUAGAGGGAGACUCAUAGGGGAAUCUUUGGACAAAAUUUGCGAGGGAAGCUGCAGCAUCCAAUCGAUACCUUCCAUAACCGUUGCCAUGCACGACGGCAAAUGGAUGACGAUGGACAAUCGUCGCCUCUGGGUGUUCAAAAAGUUAGAACGGCUCGGAAAAUGCUAUAGUGUCGAUGUCGUGGUUGGGUCCAGCAUACCAUCUGCAAAACUGACAACGACAAACGGUGGUGUCAAAAUUGACGUCCGUGGCUCACCUGGCGGAACAUGGUACACUUAACCAGGGUCCGGUAUCAGCAGCCAUUACCAGGUAGUUUCGAGAACCUCGCGGUAUGCAGUUUUUGAUGACUGGGGCUUUGAUUUUGAUUUACUUUGAUUACACGCUAAAUGACGAUUUUGAUUUGUUAUACUAGUUUGCCAUUGUAUUCAAAUAUGGCAAACGCAUGUGUAUAUGUGAAUGUGCCAUUUGUAUUAACGAGUACAAAUCUUCGCGAAUGUUUAUUAUUGUUUCCGUUUUAGUAGGUUAUUUAUUUACAUAAUGUUUUUAGAAAAUGAGAAUAGAAAACAAUUUGUGUAAAUAAAUCGAAGAAAUGUUAUAUAAACAUCUUACUGGCUUGUAGAUAAAAUUAUGCAAACUUAA